rnacentral:rRNA from 1 species
GAUGGACCCGCGGCGCAUUAGCUAGUUGGUGAGGUAACGGCUCACCAAGGCGACGAUGCGUAGCCGACCUGAGAGGGUGAUCGGCCACACUGGGACUGAGACACGGCCCAGACUCCUACGGGAGGCAGCAGUAGGGAAUCUUCCGCAAUGGACGAAAGUCUGACGGAGCAACGCCGCGUGAGUGAUGAAGGUUUUCGGAUCGUAAAGCUCUGUUGUUAGGGAAGAACAAGUGCCGUUCGAAUAGGGCGGUACCUUGACGGUACCUAACCAGAAAGCCACGGCUAACUACGUGCCAGCAGCCGCGGUAAUACGUAGGUGGCAAGCGUUGUCCGGAAUUAUUGGGCGUAAAGGGCUCGCAGGCGGUUUCUUAAGUCUGAUGUGAAAGCCCCCGGCUCAACCGGGGAGGGUCAUUGGAAACUGGGGAACUUGAGUGCAGAAGAGGAGAGUGGAAUUCCACGUGUAGCGGUGAAAUGCGUAGAGAUGUGGAGGAACACCAGUGGCGAAGGCGACUCUCUGGUCUGUAACUGACGCUGAGGAGCGAAAGCGUGGGGAGCGAACAGGAUUAGAUACCCUGGUAGUCCACGCCGUAAACGAUGAGUGCUAAGUGUUAGGGGGUUUCCGCCCCUUAGUGCUGCAGCUAACGCAUUAAGCACUCCGCCUGGGGAGUACGGUCGCAAGACUGAAACUCAAAGGAAUUGACGGGGGCCCGCACAAGCGGUGGAGCAUGUGGUUUAAUUCGAAGCAACGCGAAGAACCUUACCAGGUCUUGACAUCCUCUGACAAUCCUAGAGAUAGGACGUCCCCUUCGGGGGCAGAGUGACAGGUGGUGCAUGGUUGUCGUCAGCUCGUGUCGUGAGAUGUUGGGUUAAGUCCCGCAACGAGCGCAACCCUUGAUCUUAGUUGCCAGCAUUCAGUUGGGCACUCUAAGGUGACUGCCGGUGACAAACCGGAGGAAGGUGGGGAUGACGUCAAAUCAUCAUGCCCCUUAUGACCUGGGCUACACACGUGCUACAAUGGACAGAACAAAGGGCAGCGAAACCGCGAGGUUAAGCCAAUCCCACAAAUCUGUUCUCAGUUCGGAUCGCAGUCUGCAACUCGACUGCGUGAAGCUGGAAUCGCUAGUAAUCGCGG